UAAAACAUGGAGCUGUUGCAAGAAUGAGUGGAAGCAUGAAUUGAGAGCAAUGAUGAAGCAGCAGAUGGGCUUUCCUUCCUCUGGAAUUUUCCUGAAUCCUGGAACACAGGUCUGGCUGCACACAGACUGAGGCAUCUGAAGGGAAGAGAGAAUUAUGGUCAUAAUUUUGCAGAAAAUGAGCAGCUUUAAGAAGCUGUCUGUAUUUCUGGCCUUGUAAUGAGAAUUCUGAUAGAAGGUGGUUCCUCAAGAAUUAUCAAUAUGUUCUGGCUUUUAUCUUUGCCAUUGAGGAGAUCAACAAGAACUCUCACCUCUUCCCCAACCUGACCUUGGAUUAUAAUCUCUAUACCUUUGAAAGUGAUCACAGCACUCUGGAAAAUGCCCUGCUUUGGCUCUCUGGAGGAAUCAGACUGUCCCUAACUACAACCACCAGAGACAGAGGAAAUCUCUGGCCAUAGUUACAGGAACUGUGUCAGCAUUUUCAGCCGAGACUGAACCACUUCUGGAGCCGUACAGGUGAGAGAGUCUGAUUUUUGGUGAGAGACACUCUGCUCUUCCCCUAUGCCUUUCCUUCUCAU
rnacentral:lncRNA from 1 species